rnacentral:rRNA from 1 species
GAUGAACGCUGGCGGCGUGCCUAAUACAUGCAAGUCGAGCGAACAGACGAGGAGCUUGCUCCUCUGACGUUAGCGGCGGACGGGUGAGUAACACGUGGAUAACCUACCUAUAAGACUGGGAUAACUUCGGGAAACCGGAGCUAAUACCGGAUAACAUCCUGAACCGCAUGGUUCAACAGUGAAAGACGGUCUUGUCGUCGGGUGUAGAUGGAUCCGCGCCGCAUUAGCUAGUUGGUGGGGUAGUGGCUUACCAAGGCUAUGAUGGGUAGCCGGACUGAGAGGGUGACCGGCCAAAGUGGGACUGAGAUACGGCCAAGACUCCGACGGGAGGCAGCAGUGGGGAAUAUUGCACAAUGGGAGGAAGCCUGAUGCAGCAACGCCGCGUGCGGGAUGACGGCCGUCGGGUUGUAAACCGCUUUCGCCGGUGACGAAGCGUGAGUGACGGGAAUGGGUAAAGAAGCACCGGCUAACUACGUG